UCAGUGUGUGAGAUUUGUCUCUUCCUCUUCGUGUUCGUGAUCUUGUAACUCUCUGUGUGUGACUGGUCAUCUUCUAGAUGAUUUUCUGAAUAAUCUCUUAGUUAGAUCGUUGUGCUACGAGUGAAGCAUAAGUUGUGAGAGUUUUGUAUAGAGAGGUUUAAGUUUCGAGAGAUUUGUGGUUGAAACCUUCGUGGUUUUGUACUGCACCAUUUCUUGCCCAUUUUAUGGGCUUUAUAAUGGAUUCGAGCUAUAUCGUGUGGGAUGCUCAAUGGAGGACUAAGCGUUACAAAAGGUCGCUGAACCUCCGGGGCCUUUUGGCCAAAAAAUCCUCGUGCUCUCGUGUUUUUUGAAGUUUUAUGUUCUGAAUUUACAACAAAAUCAUUUUUCAAACAGAAGUUUUUAUUUGGGACCAACACAUAAUCUUUAGUAACGAUUCUUCAUUUAGUUAACAGUAUACAAUUUUCUUGAUUGCGUCUGGUUGUUUCAUGCUCUUAAGCUGUUUUUCAAAAUAUCCAUGUUGGUGCAUAGAAGAAUCCCUUUGUCCACAAAUUUUCCCCUUUAACAGUUUAACAUGAGCUGAGCAUAUUGAUGAUCAGCAUUUCAAGAAGAAUUCAGCCAAUGCCAAAUUAACCGAAUGUAUAUUGCAGAAAAAGUAAAAAGAAAGAGUACGUCCAAUUCUUUGACAACGUGUGAAAAAGAAAAGAAAAGAAAAUUCCUUUUUUAAUUAUUUUGUCAUAUAAGAUAGAUAUAUAGAUAGAUAAGACGUGUCUUAUUUGUAGCAUGAGGUACUACAAGUAAGUAGUAAUAUUACUUUGUGUUUGUGUUUGUGUUUGUGUUUGGAACCUCUUUGGGUUAAUCAUAAUAGCACAACAUAUUCAUUCCAG
rnacentral:lncRNA from 1 species